rnacentral:rRNA from 1 species
AUACGUAGGUGACAAGCGUUAUCCGGAUUUACUGGGCGUAAAGGGCGUGUAGGCGGUCUUGCAAGUCAGAAGUGAAAUUCCUGAGCUCAACUCGGGCGCUGCUUCUGAAACUGCAGGACUUGAGUGCUGGAGAGGGAAUGAGAAUUCCCGGUGUAGCGGUGAAAUGCGCAGAGAUCGGGAGGAAUACCGGUGGCGAAGGCGAAUUACUGGACGAUAACUGACGCUGAGACGCGAAAGCGUGGGGAGCAAACAGGAUUAGAUACCCUGGUAGUCCACGCCCUAAACGAUGAAUGCUAGGUGUAGGGGAGUCAUUUUCUGUGCCGCAGCUAACGCAAUAAGCAUUCCACCUGGGGAGUACGGCCGCAAGAUUGAAACUCAAAUGAAUUGGCGGGG